GACGAACGCUGGCUGCGUGCCUAAUACAUGCAAGUAGGACGCAGUUGCGAACGGGUGAGUAACGCGUAGGUAACUACCUGUUAGAGGGUGAUAACUAUUUGAAACGAGAGCUAAAACCGCAUACUUGUAGAUGGACCUGCGUUGUAUUCGCUAGGAGGUAGGGUAAUGGCCUAACUAGGCAACGAUGAAUAGCCGAACGUAGAGGGUGAUCUGCCAGACUGGGACUGAGACACGUCCCAGACUCCUACGGGAGGCAGCAGUAGGGAAUGUUCGGAUAUGGGGGGAACCUUGACCGAGCAACGCCGCGGGAGUGAAGAAGGUUUUCGGAGCGUAAAGCUCUGUUGUUAAGGAAGCGGUACUUAACCAGAAAGGGACGGCUAACUACGUGCCAGCAGCCGCGGUAAUUC
rnacentral:rRNA from 1 species